UACGUAGGGUCCGAGCGUUGUCCGGAAUUACUGGGCGUAAAGAGCUCGUAGGUGGUUUGUCGCGUUGUUCGUGAAAACUCACAGCUCAACUGUGGGCGUGCGGGCGAUACGGGCAGACUAGAGUACUGCAGGGGAGACUGGAAUUCCUGGUGUAGCGGUGAAAUGCGCAGAUAUCAGGAGGAACACCGGUGGCGAAGGCGGGUCUCUGGGCCGUAACUGACGCUGAGGAGCGAAAGCAUGGGGAGCGAAUAGG
rnacentral:rRNA from 1 species